GUCAUUUUUCUGUCUUCUGCCUAGAAUAAAGUAUAUAAUAUCUGUUCUUCUACAUUUAAUAUCUUGAUAUGUUCUCUGUCUAAUGACACAAGUUAAACGGAUUUUGGGAACUUGGGGGGGUGGAAUAAGACUUGCUUUAUCCACUCUAGGCAGUAACCUGAUAUUUCAGUAUCUCUAGGAUUCGUACCUUCU